GCGAUACAGGGUGACAGCCCCGUACACAAAAAUGCACAUGCUGUGAGCUCGAUGAGUAGGGCGGGACACGUGGUAUCCUGUCUGAAUAUGGGGGGACCAUCCUCCAAGGCUAAAUACUCCUGACUGACCGAUAGUGAACCAGUACCGUGAGGGAAAGGCGAAAAGAACCCCGGCGAGGGGAGUGAAAAAGAACCUGAAACCGUGUACGUACAAGCAGUGGGAGCACGCUUAGGCGUGUGACUGCGUACCUUUUGUAUAAUGGGUCAGCGACUUAUAUUCUGUAGCAAGGUUAACCGAAUAGGGGAGCCGAAGGGAAACCGAGUCUUAACUGGGCGUUAAGUUGCAGGGUAUAGACCCGAAACCCGGUGAUCUAGCCAUGGGCAGGUUGAAGGUUGGGUAACACUAACUGGAGGACCGAACCGACUAAUGUUGAAAAAUUAGCGGAUGACUUGUGGCUGGGGGUGAAAGGCCAAUCAAACCGGGAGAUAGCUGGUUCUCCCCGAAAGCUAUUUAGGUAGCGCCUCGUGAAUUCAUCUCCGGGGGUAGAGCACUGUUUCGGCAAGGGGGUCAUCCCGACUUACCAACCCGAUGCAAACUGCGAAUACCGGAGAAUGUUAUCACGGGAGACACACGGCGGGUGCUAACGUCCGUCGUGAAGAGGGAAACAACCCAGACCGCCAGCUAAGGUCCCAAAGUCAUGGUUAAGUGGGAAACGAUGUGGGAAGGCCCAGACAGCCAGGAUGUUGGCUUAGAAGCAGCCAUCAUUUAAAGAAAGCGUAAUAGCUCACUGGUCGAGUCGGCCUGCGCGGAAGAUGUAACGGGGCUAAACCAUGCACCGAAGCUGCGGCAGCGACGCUUAUGCGUUGUUGGGUAGGGGAGCGUUCUGUAAGCCUGUGAAGGUGUGCUGUGAGGCAUGCUGGAGGUAUCAGAAGUGCGAAUGCUGACAUAAGUAACGAUAAAGCGGGUGAAAAGCCCGCUCGCCGGAAGACCAAGGGUUCCUGUCCAACGUUAAUCGGGGCAGGGUGAGUCGACCCCUAAGGCGAGGCCGAAAGGCGUAGUCGAUGGGAAACAGGUUAAUAUUCCUGUACUUGGUGUUACUGCGAAGGGGGGACGGAGAAGGCUAUGUUGGCCGGGCGACGGUUGUCCCGGUUUAAGCGUGUAGGCUGGUUUUCCAGGCAAAUCCGGAAAAUCAAGGCUGAGGCGUGAUGACGAGGCACUACGGUGCUGAAGCAACAAAUGCCCUGCUUCCAGGAAAAGCCUCUAAGCAUCAGGUAACAUCAAAUCGUACCCCAAACCGACACAGGUGGUCAGGUAGAGAAUACCAAGGCGCUUGAGAGAACUCGGGUGAAGGAACUAGGCAAAAUGGUGCCGUAACUUCGGGAGAAGGCACGCUGAUAUGUAGGUGAAGUCCCUCGCGGAUGGAGCUGAAAUCAGUCGAAGAUACCAGCUGGCUGCAACUGUUUAUUAAAAACACAGCACUGUGCAAACACGAAAGUGGACGUAUACGGUGUGACGCCUGCCCGGUGCCGGAAGGUUAAUUGAUGGGGUUAGCGCAAGCGAAGCUCUUGAUCGAAGCCCCGGUAAACGGCGGCCGUAACUAUAACGGUCCUAAGGUAGCGAAAUUCCUUGUCGGGUAAGUUCCGACCUGCACGAAUGGCGUAAUGAUGGCCAGGCUGUCUCCACCCGAGACUCAGUGAAAUUGAACUCGCUGUGAAGAUGCAGUGUACCCGCGGCAAGACGGAAAGACCCCGUGAACCUUUACUAUAGCUUGACACUGAACAUUGAGCCUUGAUGUGUAGGAUAGGUGGGAGGCUUUGAAGUGUGGACGCCAGUCUGCAUGGAGCCGACCUUGAAAUACCACCCUUUAAUGUUUGAUGUUCUAACGUUGACCCGUAAUCCGGGUUGCGGACAGUGUCUGGUGGGUAGUUUGACUGGGGCGGUCUCCUCCUAAAGAGUAACGGAGGAGCACGAAGGUUGGCUAAUCCUGGUCGGACAUCAGGAGGUUAGUGCAAUGGCAUAAGCCAGCUUGACUGCGAGCGUGACGGCGCGAGCAGGUGCGAAAGCAGGUCAUAGUGAUCCGGUGGUUCUGAAUGGAAGGGCCAUCGCUCAACGGAUAAAAGGUACUCCGGGGAUAACAGGCUGAUACCGCCCAAGAGUUCAUAUCGACGGCGGUGUUUGGCACCUCGAUGUCGGCUCAUCACAUCCUGGGGCUGAAGUAGGUCCCAAGGGUAUGGCUGUUCGCCAUUUAAAGUGGUACGCGAGCUGGGUUUAGAACGUCGUGAGACAGUUCGGUCCCUAUCUGCCGUGGGCGCUGGAGAACUGAGGGGGGCUGCUCCUAGUACGAGAGGACCGGAGUGGACGCAUCACUGGUGUUCGGGUUGUCAUGCCAAUGGCACUGCCCGGUAGCUAAAUGCGGAAGAGAUAAGUGCUGAAAGCAUCUAAGCACGAAACUUGCCCCGAGAUGAGUUCUCCCUGACUCCUUGAGAGUCCUGAAGGAACGUUGAAGACGACGACGUUGAUAGGCCGGGUGUGUAAGCGCAGCGAUGCGUUGAGCUAACCGGUACUAAUGAACCGUGAGGCUUAACCUU
rnacentral:rRNA from 1 species